UGCAGGACGCCGAGACGC
rnacentral:misc_RNA from 1 species